UUGCACGCUGGCGGCAGGCCUCACACAUGCAAGUCGAACGGUAACAGGAAGCAGCUUGCUGCUUCGCUGACGAGUGGCGGACGGGUGAGUAAUGUCUGGGAAACUGCCUGAUGGAGGGGGAUAACUACUGGAAACGGUAGCUAAUACCGCAUAACGUCGCAAGACCAAAGAGGGGGACCUUAGGGCCUCUUGCCAUCGGAUGUGCCCAGAUGGGAUUAGCUAGUAGGUGGGGUAACGGCUCACCUAGGCGACGAUCCCUAGCUGGUCUGAGAGGAUGACCAGCCACACUGGAACUGAGACACGGUCCAGACUCCUACGGGAGGCAGCAGUGGGGAAUAUUGCACAAUGGGCGCAAGCCUGAUGCAGCCAUGCCGCGUGUAUGAAGAAGGCCUUCGGGUUGUAAAGUACUUUCAGCGGGGAGGAAGGGAGUAAAGUUAAUACCUUUGCUCAUUGACGUUACCCGCAGAAGAAGCACCGGCUAACUCCGUG
rnacentral:rRNA from 1 species